AUUGAACGCUGGCGGCAGGCCUAACACAUGCAAGUCGAACGGGUGGCGGACGGGUGGGUAAGGUCUGGGAAACUGCCUGAUGGAGGGGUAUAACUACGGGAAACGGUAGCUAAUACCGCAUACCAUCGGUUGGGCCCACUUUGGAUUAGCUAGUAGGUGGGGUAACGGCUCACCUAGGCGACGAGCCCUAGCUGGGCUGAGAGGAUUACCAGCCAAACUGGAACUGAGACACGGUCCAGACUCCGACGGGAGGCAGCAGUGGGGAAUAUUGCACAAUGGGCGCAAGCCUGAUGCAGCCAUGCCGCGUGUAUGAAGAAGGCCUUCGGGUUGUAAAGUACUUUAAGCGAGGAGGCGUUACUCGCAGAAGAAGCACCGGCUAACUCCGUGCCAGCAGCCGCGGUAAUAC
rnacentral:rRNA from 1 species